AGGCUAGUCUUGAACUCUUGGCCUCAGGCAAUCUUCCUGCCUUUACCUCCGGAGACAAUGGGAUUACAGACAUGAGCCACCAUGCCCAGUGACGAAACUUCAGCUUUAAGAGGUUAAAAGACUUGUCCAGAGUCAUGUUAACAGGUAAAUCUACUGUGAAUGUUAUGAGCCAAGCCCAGAUCACCAACUUCAAACAGAAUUGGAGGUACCUGUAGAGAGUUACGCUGGCAGACAGGCUUUUACUAAAGCCAGCAGAGCAGAGGAUCUCCCUCUGUUACCCAGGCUGGAGUGCAGCAGCGCAAUCUCAGCUCACUGCACCCUCCACCUCCCAGGCUCAGGAGAUUCUCCUGCUUCAGCCUCCCAACUAGCUGGGAUUACAAGCGUGCACCACCAAGCCCAGCUGAUUUUCUGUAUUUUAGUAGAGAUGGGGUUUCACCUAAUAUUAAAGUCCAUCAUCUUGUACUAAAGAUAUAAAAUGUUGACCUUUCCUUUGUCUGUACUGCCUGGUAAAAUCUUGUCAAAAUUUCCAAAUUAUUUCACUAUGAAGCAUUACUACAGUAAACUAUGGUAUUUGUUGGUAGCAUAUGUGUGUGUGUAUUUUGAUCUCAUUUUUCAUCCUCAAAAUUCACCAAUGCUUACAAUUUUAAAAACCUGUUCAAUGUGUAGAGAGCAGGAUUAUUAUUUUGUGUAUGAGAGAAGACUCCUUAGAGUGCUAUGUUUUUAAAAUAAUACUUUUAGCAAUUAUUAAUACAGUACACUUUGUUUUAAACAUUCUUUAAACAACUUUUAAAAUUGUAUAUUAAACAAAACAAAGCUGUCUUGCCUUUAGGAGGUUCUUUAACGUCUUUGUGCUUCAGUUUCUUCAGCAAUAAAAUGGGAAUAACAAUAAUGGCCCUAUCUACUAUUCAAAUAUCUAUUAAGGCAAGUUAGGACAAUAGAAAUAGAUACAAAACC
rnacentral:lncRNA from 1 species